UUACCUGGCAACGGGGAAAGUUUGUGGGCGGAGAUUGUAUGGAGGGCUGGGGCCACAGGUAGAGUUACCAGGUGAAGGUAUGAAGAAGACAGGAAUCUUGGGCACUGGUGCACAAUCUCAUGGCUGGAGACCUCCAAGAAAAAAGUGAGAUCAAUUACACAGCGGUAAAACAUCUUCUGUGGGGCUGUGGUAACUACAACCUGAGAGAGACUAUUCAGGCCAAGGGAAAAGACAAGGAAGCAGAAAAGGUCAAUAUGAGGGAGAUGCCAACAUCCCUGGAUAGUGACUCAGACGUGCUCUCCAAUGGUGUGAUGACUUUACCUCUCGGUAGGACAGAAGUACAAGAAGGAUGGGAACCUUUGGUAGAGGUGGGACAUCGCUUGAGACCUUCAAUCAGAAAGGGAGAUAUAUGACAGAGCAGCAUAAUGGCUACUGUGGGUCCGUCACUGUCAAACGCACACUGGGAGAGAAUAUUGAUGCCAGCAUUAAAGAUGGUAGAAUGGGACUCCCUCAGCAACUGGUGCAACAUCCCAGGGCAGGUAAUUAUCUUCUAUCCAUAGAGGCUCAUGGGAGGUUUCCAUAGGGCUGAACCCCCACAUCUCCUUACUGGGGUCCCACUUAUCUAAGCAGCAUGUAAACAUGUGCUGAACUUGCAGCCAAUUACUAUCAGGAUAUAAACAUAUAACGUGAUUGGCUGUAAACUCACUUUUUUAUUUUCUGGGAUCAGAGGUGAGUGGAGCAUUGAUACACGGGGGCAUUAAGGGAAAUAAUGGCAGAAAUGAAGGAAAUGUCUAUUUGAGUGUGACACUGGCUAGUGCCUGGGAUAUUACCCUGGCU